AGUGGCCCUUUUCUUUUGUCCUACAAAAGGCAACUUAGCCAUCUUUCUUUGAAAAUAAGACUCACAGACUGGAUAAGACUCAAAAAUCAAUGGUCCGAGAAGAUCAUCCUUUUUCAAUUUGUUAAGUUUGUCCUUUUUAAUAUGGCCUAGCCUAAGGUGUCAUAAAUAUUUUUGGCUAAUUUUAUUUCUAGAUCUCUUAGACCCUACGGAAUUUACUAUUUGCUCGUUCACAUUAACACUUGCAUCCACAGGCAAAUG
rnacentral:lncRNA from 1 species